rnacentral:ncRNA from 1 species
UGUGUUUGAAAAAGCACAAAUGAAAAGAAAAGCUGGAGAAGUCGUAAUUCCCACUGGAAAACAUUUCUCAAAAAGAUGCUAAAAUCUCUAUCGAAAUCCUUUGCAAAAGACGGAAGCGCGAAUAAGCCUCCUCUUUCGGAAAGGUGUAACUAUUAGAGCAAAUCAAUCACCUUCGAGUGUAGUUUGCUGAUUUUAAAUAACGCUGCCUAUCGGCAGCCUGUCCGCCAAUAUUCCGAAAAAGCGUCUGUUCUGUCAACCUGAGGGUAGUCUAUUAAUCUACCAUUGCUAUUACGGGUAACAGAAAAUAAGGGUUCGACUACGGAGAGGGAGUGUCAGAAACGGCUGCCAAAUGCAAGGACGAAACA